UCCGGUGAUAAUGGCGGAGGGGCCACACCCGUUCCCAUCCCGAACACGGAAGUUAAGCCCUCCAGCGCCGAUGGUACUGCCAGGGAAGCCAGGUGGGAGAGUAGGUCGUUGCCGGAG
rnacentral:rRNA from 1 species